GAAUUUUGGACAAUGGGCGAAAGCCUGAUCCAGCAAUGCCGCGUGCAGGAUGAAGGCCUUCGGGUUGUAAACUGCUUUUGUACGGAACGAAAAGCUUUGGGUUAAUACCCUGGAGUCAUGACGGUACCGUAAGCAUAAGCCCCGGCUAACUACGUGACAGCAGCCGCGGUAAUACGUAGGGUGCAAGCGUUAAUCGGAAUUACUGGGCGUAAAGCGUUCGCAGGCGGUUUUGUAAGACAGAGGUGAAAUCCCCGGGGUCCACCUUGGAACUUCCUUUGUGACUGCAAGGCUAGAGUACGGCAGAGGGGGGUGGAAUUCCGCGUUUAGCAGUUAAAUGCGGAGAUAUGCGGAGGAACACCGAUUGCGGAGGCAACCCCCUGGGCCUUUACUGACGCUCAUGCACGAAAGCGUGGGGAGCAAAC
rnacentral:rRNA from 1 species